rnacentral:rRNA from 1 species
CCUACGGGAGGCAGCAGUGGGGAAUCUUGCGCAAUGGGCGAAAGCCUGACGCAGCCAUGCCGCGUGUAUGAUGAAGGUCUUAGGAUUGUAAAAUACUUUCACCGGUGAAGAUAAUGACUGUAGCCGGAGAAGAAGCCCCGGCUAACUUCGUGCCAGCAGCCGCGGUAAUACGAAGGGGGCUAGCGUUGCUCGGAAUUACUGGGCGUAAAGGGAGCGUAGGCGGACAUUUAAGUCAGAGGUGAAAUCCCGGAGCUUAACUUCGGAACUGCCUUUGAUACUGGGUGUCUUGAGUGUGAGAGAGGUAUGUGGAACUCCGAGUGUAGAGGUGAAAUUCGUAGAUAUUCGGAAGAACACCAGUGGCGAAGGCGACAUACUGGCUCAUUACUGACGCUGAGGCUCGAAAGCGUGGGGAGCAAACAGGAUUAGAUACCCUGGUAGUCCACGCCGUAAACGAUGAUUGCUAGUUGUCGGGAAGCUUGCUUCUCGGUGACGCNGCUACGCAUAGACANCCGCCGUGGGAGGUACGGUCGCGAGAAGUAAACUACGAAAGAAGUUAGUACGGCGUUGAGACGNGCCGACGGACGACGACGAGGGAGGAGG